rnacentral:rRNA from 1 species
UAGGGAAUCUUCCGCAAUGGACGAAAGUCUGACGGCUCAACGCCGCGUGAGUGAAGAAGGAUUUCGGUUCGUAACACUCUGUUGUUAGGGAAGAAAAAAUGUAUAGUAACUAUAUACAAAAGAGACGGUACCUAACCAGAAAGCCACGGCUAACUACGUGCCAGCAGCCGCGGUAAUACGUAGGUGGCAAGCGUUGUCCGGAAUUAUUGGGCGUAAAGCGCGCGCAGGUGGUUUAGAAAGUCUGAUGUGAAAGCCCACGGCUCAACCGUGGAGGGUCAUUGGAAACUAAUAAACUUGAGUGCAGGAGAGAAAAGUGGAAUUCCUAGUGUAGCGGUGAAAUGCGUAGAGAUUAGGAGGAACACCGGUGGCGAAAGCGGCUUUUUGGCCUGCAACUGACACUGAGGCGCGAAAGCGUGGGGAGCAAACAGG